UUGGUCCGAGAGUAGUGGUGUUUACAA
rnacentral:piRNA from 2 species